rnacentral:lncRNA from 1 species
CCACAGGGUAUAACAAGGCAAGCAAAUAGAGAUUUGGAAAUUGCUGACAAAUGAGUACUCACAGUUGUGUGAGUGGUUUAGGUCAUUAAAGAGAGUGUGUAUGGUGAAUGGAAAAUCAAGGCUGGGAUCUUGGAGAACUCCAGACCUUAGAGGAUGAGCUUAAGAGGGCAGAUGAGAAAGUAGAGUGGUGCAAUAUGAAAUUGCUUCAGGAAGGUCAAGGAGUAAAUGGUCCCUGAUGCUGCCCAGUAGUCCGUAAGGUGAAAGCGAAAAACUUCACCUGGGUUUAGAGAUCAGCAAGCAGCAGUGGGGCAGAAGAGCUCCAUGCAGCAGUCAUUGGAAACCUUGGCAAGGUAGUCUUCAUGGACACAGUGUUAACAAACAGUGGGACCUAUACACACUCUACCUGUGGUCCUGAAUUAUCUCUGGGCUCUGGGCAUGGGGAAAGUUUUGACCAGCAUUACUGGGACACUAGUAACUCCUAUCCAACCUCUCCCAGAAAUCCUUAGCCAAGUAAGGGAAGUACCAGUAUUAGAAAGGGAAACAGAGGAGAGAUGGGGGUAUGACAACUGAGAAACCACCAAGAAGGUAAAAAGGAGACUUAUUUUAAUACCGUUUACAAAUAAUUUUAGUUACCAAGAAAGAAUUCAUAGCCUACCAUGGCUGAAAUGUUAAAUGAGUGAAGAAGAAUAAAAACUGUGUGGACGAAGCAAAACAGAACAGCGCAGGUAUUGGUCUGUUGCCUUUAAGGACACUUUAGCUGUUGUCUUUAUACUUGAAUGACACCUUGGCUGGAUAUAAUAUUAGAGGGCAUUUGAGCAGAAAAGCAAAACUCCAGCUGCAUAGAGAAGGCUCAACUGAGGUGUCAUCACUAAUUAAGUUAUACCAAAGUAUUCAGUAUUUAUCUUUGCUCGUUUUUUACUCUUGAUAAAAAAUUUGUUUCAGAACUACUAGAGCUGUGACAUGUCUUACAAUUUAGAAAGCUGAUUUCAAGUUUGAUUGACAGUAUUUUUAGGCUAUUGAAGGGAGUAUUUUUUUCCUUUGGGAAUGUGGCGGCACAAUCUUCCUAUGCUUAGGGCAGUUUAGGCAGAGGGGCGGGGGGGUGGAGGCUGGUUUGAAGAGGGGUAAGGAAGAAUAGCUAGCAAGUAGAGAAACUCAAGAAAUUGGGCUAAGACAGGGAGGAAGGAAAGAGUAGUGACUGCAGAGUAACAUGGGUUUGAG